rnacentral:lncRNA from 1 species
AGACAUAGGCAAAGGGAGAAGCAGGCUCCUUGCAGGGAGUCUGAUGUGGGACUCGAUCCCAGGACCCCGGAAUCAUAAUUUGAGUCAAAGGCAGAUGCUCAACCACUGAGCCACCCAGGCGUCCCAAAUUUGCUUACUUCUUAUACUUCAGUGUGAUUCAUUAACUGAGAUUAGAUUGUGAAGGUUGGGUCUGGAGAGAGAAUCUGAAAAGAAAGAAAAGGAGAGAGGACCAUAAGGACAAAGAAAUAAUCAGAAGGCAGCUUCUGGGAACAACGUAUCUGCUUCCUAAUCUGUCUUCAUCCCUGUCCAAAGACAUCAGGGAUGGUUUUGAUAUCGUUCCCAUCACCAGUAUUCUGACCUUAAUUAAGAUAUUAUAAGUCCAUGUGCUCUGUUCUGUUGUGUGAAGAUUGCUGCCCACCCAGCUUUGCUACUACUGCUAUUUCAUGAAUAAUAUCAAUAUACAAUUUUACAGUCUUCUCUAAGGCCAACUCCUUUACUGUUGAACUGUAUCUCCUCAUUUUUCAACUAUUCAAGAAUCGAUGCAAUUCUUUUUUUUUUGAUGAUACAAUUCUUAAUAGUCUCUCCUGAAACAACUAUUUUCACUUCCUUAAAAAAUAUUUUUUCCAAAUAUAUCUUUAUAUAUAUAUAUAUAUAUAUAUAUAUAUAUAUAUAUAUAUAUAUAUACUAUUUUUCUGUUCCCCAUUACGAAGAGUCUCAGACUGAAUGGUACGUGAUGUGCCCAUUUCCUCACCUCCUGUUCUCUCUUCAACCCAAUCCAAGUGUGCUUUUUACCCAUGACUCUCUGAAAUUGUGCCCAAUAGGGUCAUCAGAGACCCCUACCUGGUGAGAUCCAAUGGUCAAUCCUCUGUCCUUAGCACAAUCAACCUCUUAGCAACUUGGGGCAUUCAUUCCCAUCUUCUUUUUUAAAAUAAUUAUUUUAACAUUUUUCAUGCAUUCAGAAGAUGUAAAAAUUAGUAUAAUAAACACCAGUGUACCCAUUGGUCAGCUUAAAAAGUAGAACAUUUCCACUAGAAAUUCUGGUGUGUCUUUCUCUGAUUGCUUGUCUCUUCCUACCUCCCGGAUAUAACCACUUUUUUUGUGUUUAUUAUUCCCUUGUUAUAUCCUACAUUGUUUCACUGCAUAUGUGUAUAUCUCUAAUAGUGUAUUAGUUUCAUUUUAUUACCUUUACAUAAAUGGUAACUUAGUGCACAUAUUUUUGUGAUUAGCUUUUUUCUCUCAACAUUAUUUUUAUAAGAUGUAGUCAUGAUGCUAUUUGUAAGCAUCGCUUGUUUACACUGUUAUACAGUGUUCCAGGGCAAAUUGUAUUAGUUAUCUAUUGCUGUGUGACAAAUUACUCCAAAAUUUUGCAGCUCAAAACAACAAUAAACAGUUUCUGUAGGUUGAGAAUUUAGGAAAAGCCUAGCUGAGUUGUUCUAGCUUCAGUGUCUCCCAUGAAGUUGAAGUGAAGAUAUAGUUAUCUGGAGGCUUGACGCAGGCUAGAGAAUUCAUUUCCAAGAUGGUGCACUCACAAUACUGAGAAUUGAUGUGUUUGUUGAAAAGAAGCCUCAGCUACUUGCCAUGUGGAUAUCUCCACAGGGCUGCUUGAGUAUCCUUAUAACAUAGCAGCUGGCUUUCUCCAGAGAGAAUGAACCAAGAAAGCAAAGUAGAAGUCACAGUGACUUUGAUCAUUUCUGAAAUAUCCCAUUGGCUAUAGGUCAGCUGCAUUCGGUGUGGGAGGGAAGUACACAAAGCACGUGAAUACCAGGAAGUGAUGCUGGAAGCCAUCCUGGAACCUGGCUACCACAAUGACUAUGCCAGAAUUAGUCUAUUCUCUUGUUAAUGACAUUAAUGUUAUUCCUAUUUUAUUUUAUUUUAUUUUAUUUUAUUUUAUUUUAUUUGUUUGCUAUUACAAACACAAUGAUUAUGAUCAUUCUUGUUCAAAUUUCUGGUGCACAUGGGGCACAGUCUCUCUAGAGGGAGAUUGCUGGGCCAAUAGGAUAUGUUCAUCCUCAAAUUUAUUAGAAAAUACCAAAUUGAGCAGCCCAGGUGGCUCAGUGGUUUAGUGCCGCCUUCAGCCCAGGGUGUGAUCCUGGGGACUUGGGAUCGAGAUCCCGCCCUGGGCCAAAGGCAGGCGCUAAACCGCUGAGCCACCCAGGGAUCCCUAAUCUAUACGUUUUUAAAAUAUAUUUUGAAUUAUUAAAAAGCUUUGGAAGAUUAUAUGUGCCACAAAUAUCUCCUAGUUUAUGCUUUGUCUUUUUACUUUUUAAUACUGGUUUUCGAUGACUGGAAAUCUGAAAUUUAUUCAUUUUUCCCCCUCUGGUAUGUGCUAUUUAUAUCUUUUUAAAAGACAUUCUUCCAUUAACUGAGGUCAUAAAAAUACUUGUCUAUACUUCCUUUGAAAAGGUUUUCAGGCUUGCUCUUUACCUGUAGUUCUCUAACCCAAAUGGAACUUGUUUUUGUAUGUUAGAUGAGGUGGAACAUUACUUAUAAUGUUUGUUUCUGUAUAGAUAACCACUUGCUCAAGCUUCUUUCUUUUUUUUUAAAUUUAUUUGAGAGAAAGACAGAGAGAGCAACAGAGACAGUGACAGAGAUAGCGAGAGAGAGCACAAGUGGGGAGGAGAGAGAGAAGCAAAUUCCCCGCUGAGAAGGGAACUCAUCUGGGGUUCAAUCCCAGGACCCCAGAAUCAUGACCUGAGCCGAAGGCAGAUAUUCAACCCUCAACCAACUAGGCCACCCAGGUGCCCCUCAAGCUUCUUUCUUAAAACACUUUCUUCAGGGGCACCUGGGUGGCUCAGUGGUUGAGCACCUACCUUUGGCUCAGGAUGUGAUCCUGGAGUCCUCGGAUCAAGUCCCACGUUGGGCUCUCUGCAUGGAGCCUGCUUCUCCCUCUGACUGUGUCUCUGCCUCUCUCUGUGUCUCUCAUGAAUAAGUAAAUAAAAUCUUAAAAAAAAAAAAA